UUGCUACCUGUAUACACUUGAUACUCAUUAGCAAUGCCAUGUUAAGCGGAGUGAGCACUCAGGCAUACUUCUUUUCCAAUACUUUCUUCAUGGUGAGCCUCUUCUGGGCUUUGCACAGCAGAAAAUCCAAAGAUGCUGCUUGUAUGGCUAUCGCUAUAAACGUCUUUAGCUUCUUCAUGGAUAUUUUAUGCAUCGUUGUAUACUUUUCAGAACACAAUAUAUGGUCAGUGACUUUUGCCAUCAUCAAUGUAGUCGCGAAGCUUUUCUCCAUCUGCAUACUUUGUUGUGAAUCAGUCAAGAGGGCCGUCAAACCCAAUAACUUAGGAGCAGGCUCACAUCAUCAUACUUCUUUUAGUUUUUUCUGCUCAGAUCCGACGGAUGAACACUGAA